CACUUUGAGAAGAGAAUCUUGAAACUCCCAGAAGAGAAGAAAACAAUCCAGGUUAUAUGGAAAAAUUUUAAAAUUUUUCAUUGUUAGUUGUCUAUUUCAUCACUACAGAGGGUGAUGAUGGUCUGUGAUAACUACAGCAAGAGAGGGACCGUUUGCUAGCUGAAAUUGAAAACCUUGCUGCUGCUUCUGAUGGACAAAGGCAGAAAAUGCACAAAGCUUAUGCACAGAAAUUAAAAUCACUUGAGACAUAGAUUUUAGAUCUUAAGAAGAAACAAGAUUGUCAGCUUCAGCUUUUAAAGCAAAAACAAAGAAGUGAUGAAGCAGCAAAGCGGCAUCAAGAUGAGAUAAAGACCAUCAAGGUCCAGAAGGUUCAAUUGCAGCAUAAGAUAAAACAAGAGGCAGAGCAAUUUCGACAAUGGAAGGCCUCUCAUGAGAAGGAAUUGCUUCAGCUAAGGAAGGAAGGCAGAAGAAAUCAAUAUGAGCAACAUAAACUGCAAGCUUUAAAUCAGCACUAGAAAAUGCUAAAACUACCCUAUCAAAUUGUGGCUAUUGUUUCCAGUGCUUUGAAUGAUGCAGCUGCAAAGAAGUAUGAUUUGAAAGGAUGGUUUCCUGCAUCCAGCACUUACAGAGAACUUGUUUCCUGUUCAAACUGCACUGACUAUCAGUCCAGGAGAUUAGAGAUUCGAUAUGGGCAGAAAAAGGAUAGACUAGUAGUUAUAUUUUUGGAUACACUAGUAGUUAUAUUUUUGGAUGGGUGUGUAUAGAAAAUAUUUGGUAGACUACUAGUUAUAUUUUUCGGUUGAUGUACAUGGAUAAAAAUUUUAAACAU